rnacentral:rRNA from 1 species
CCUACGGGAGGCAGCAGUAGGGAAUCUUCCACAAUGGACGAAAGUCUGAUGGAGCAACGCCGCGUGUGUGAUGAAGGGUUUCGGCUCGUAAAACACUGUUAUAAGAGAAGAACGACAUUGAGAGUAACUGUUCAGUGUGUGACGGUAUCUUAUCAGAAAGGAACGGCUAAAUACGUGCCAGCAGCCGCGGUAAU